rnacentral:rRNA from 1 species
GAUGAACGCUGGCGGCGUGCCUAAUACAUGCAAGUCGAGCGAACAGACGAGGAGCUUGCUCCUCUGACGUUAGCGGCGGACGGGCGAGUAACACGUGCAUCACCUACCUCUAUGACUGGGAUAACUUCGGGAAACCGGAGACAAUACCGGCUAAUAUAUUGAACCGCAUGGUUCAAUAGUUAAAGAGGGUUUUGCUGUCUCUUAUAGAUGGAUCCGCGCCGCAUUAGCUAGUUGGUAAGGUAACGGCUUACCAAGGCAACGAUGCGUAGCCGAUCUGAGAGGGUGAUCGGCCACACUGGAACUGAGACACGGUCCAGACUCCUACGGGAGGCAGCAGUGGGGAAUCUUCCGCAAAGGGCGAAAGCCUGACGGAGCAACGCCGCGUGAGUGAUGAAGGUCUUCGGAUCGUAAAACUCUGUUAUUAGGGAAGAACAAAUGUGUAAGUAACUAUGCACGUCUUGACGGUACCUAAUCAGAAAGCCCCGGCUAACUACGUG